UUUUAAAUAAGAUAUUAAUAUUAAUAUUAGUUAUUGAAAAUAUUAUUUUUAUUGUUUAUAAUGUUACUAUUUUUUAUUUUAUUUAUUUUUUAAAAAUUUUUUAUUUUUUAAAUUUUUAUUUUUUUAAAAAGUUUUUUAUUUUUUUUAAAAAGUUUUUUAUUUUUUUUAAAAAGUUUUUAUUUUUUUAAAAUUUUUUAUUUUUUAAAGUUUUUAUUUUUAAAAAUUUUUAUUUUUUAUUUAAGUUUUUUUAUUAAAAUUAUUUAAUUUAAGAGAAAAUAUUAAAAAUUAAUUAUUAUGCUUAUUUAUUCAUAUAUGUUAUUAUAUAAUUUUUUAAAUUAGUAUAAAAAAUUAAGUUAAUUUAAUAAAAAUUAUUAAAUUUUAAAAAAUAAAUUAAUAAAUAUUGGUUUUAUAAAUAUUUAUAAAUCAAUAUAUAAUUAUAUAUAUAUAUUUAUUAAUAUAAAAUUAAUAUUUAUAUAUAUAUAAUUAUUUAUAAAUUAAUAUAUAAUUAGAGAAUAAAAUAAUAUAUAUAUAUUUAUAUAAUUAUAAAUAUAUAUAAUAUUAUAUAUAUAUAUAUAUAUAUUUUAUUUUAAAUAAAUAAAAUAUAACAAAAAAAAAAAAAAAACUCAUUUUAUUAUUUAUUAUUAAUAUUUAAAUUAAUUAAUAAAAAAAUAUUUAUAAUAUAAAAUAGUUAUAAUAUAAAAUAGUUAAUUUUAUAUUUAAAAUUUUAUACUAAAUAAUAAAAUUAUAUAUUAAAUAAUAUGAAUAAAUAUAAAAUUAUAUAUAUAUAUAUAUAUAUAUAUAUAUAUAUAUAUAUAUAUUAUUUUAUAUAUAUUUA
rnacentral:rRNA from 1 species